rnacentral:lncRNA from 1 species
UAGAUUCAAUUGGGACCGCUAAGGUUGGCACCUUUCUCUCUCUUCCUUGGAGCUGCAUGAUUCCGUUCGAGUUGCUUAUCUCCACUUCCCCUGAUGCGAUUUCCCUCCUCACGUAGGUUAGGUAGGAGCACAAAGGUAGAUUGAAAAUUACCAGCAAGUCCAUCUCCUACUUCGACUGCAAUGUAAUGUUGAGUCUCACUUGCUUUCUUCCCUCUCUUUUCUCUUCUUAUCAGAGCAAAGAUGCAUUUCAGGCGAUGAACUCAACCAUUGCUCUGGGUUUGUGUGUGUGUGUGAGGGUGAGAGAGGGAGAAGUUGUUAGCUUUAAGUUGUCUUGUGAUUUCGUUUCCACUUGAAUCUGCUAUAUGACAUCUUCCAUGUUGUUUGUAUUACACCGUCGCGUCUCAUGUAACUUAUGAGGCUGGAGAUAUGUGCUUUCACUGCUUACUUGUGGAUCUGAAAGUUUUUCU